AACGAACGCUGGCGGCAUGCCUAACACAUGCCAGUCGAACGAGACCUUCGGGUCUAGUGGCGCACGGGUGCGUAACGCGUGGGAACCUGCCCUUAGGUUCGGAAUAACUCCCCGAAAGGGGUGCUAAUACCGGAUAAUGUCUUCGGACCAAAGAUUUAUCGCCUUUGGAUGGGCCCGCGUUGGAUUAGCUAGUUGGUAGGGUAAAAGCCUACCAAGGCGACGAUCCAUAGCUGGUCUGAGAGGAUGAUCAGCCACACUGGGACUGAGACACGGCCCAGACUCCUACGGGAGGCAGCAGUGGGGAAUAUUGGACGAUGGGCGAAAGCCUGAUCCAGCAAUGCCGCGUGAGUGAUGAAGGCCUUAGGGUUGUAAAGCUCUUUUACCCGGGAUGAUAAUGACAGUACCGGGAGAAUAAGCUCCGGCUAACUCCGUG
rnacentral:rRNA from 1 species